GCUGGCGGCGUGCUUAACACAUGCAAGUCGAACGAACCUUCGGGUUAGUGGCGGACGGGUGAGUAACGCGUGAGAAUCUGCCCUCAGGAGGGGGAUAACGGCUGGAAACGGCCGCUAAUACCCCAUAUGCCGAGAGGUGAAACGAGUUUUCGCCUGAGGAUGAGCUCGCGUCUGAUUAGCUAGUUGGUGGGGUAAGAGCCUACCAAGGCAUCGAUCAGUAGCUGGUCUGAGAGGAUGAUCAGCCACACUGGGACUGAGACACGGCCCAGACUCCUACGGGAGGCAGCAGUGGGGAAUUUUCCGCAAUGGGCGAAAGCCUGACGGAGCAACGCCGCGUGAGGGAUGAAGGCCUCUGGGCUGUAAACCUCUUUUAUCAAGGAAGAAGAUCUGACGGUACUUGAUGAAUAAGCCACGGCUAAUUCCGUGCCAGCAGCCGCGGUAAUACGGGAGUGGCAAGCGUUAUCCGGAAUUAUUGGGCGUAAAGCGUCCGCAGGCGGCCUGAUAAGUCUGUUGUCAAAGCGUGGAGCUCAACUCCAUUUCGGCAAUGGAAACUGUGAGGCUUGAGUGUGGUAGGGGCAGAGGGAAUUCCCGGUGUAGCGGUGAAAUGCGUAGAUAUCGGGAAGAACACCAGUGGCGAAGGCGCUCUGCUGGGCCAUAACUGACGCUCAUGGACGAAAGCCAGGGGAGCGAAAGGGAUUAGAUACCCCUGUAGUCCUGGCCGUAAACGAUGAACACUAGGUGUCGGGGGAAUCGACCCCCUCGGUGUCGUAGCCAACGCGUUAAGUGUUCCGCCUGGGGAGUACGCACGCAAGUGUGAAACUCAAAGGAAUUGACGGGGGCCCGCACAAGCGGUGGAGUAUGUGGUUUAAUUCGAUGCAACGCGAAGAACCUUACCAGGGUUUGACAUCCUGCGAAUCCCUUGGAAACGAGGGAGUGCCUUCGGGAGCGCAGAGACAGGUGGUGCAUGGCUGUCGUCAGCUCGUGUCGUGAGAUGUUGGGUUAAGUCCCGCAACGAGCGCAACCCACGUCUUUAGUUGCCAGCAUUGAGUUGGGCACUCUAGAGAGACCGCCGGUGAUAAACCGGAGGAAGGUGUGGAUGACGUCAAGUCAUCAUGCCCCUUACAUCCUGGGCUACACACGUACUACAAUGCUACGGACAAAGGGCAGCAAACUCGCGAGAGCUAGCAAAUCCCAUAAACCGUGGCUCAGUUCAGAUCGUAGGCUGCAACUCGCCUACGUGAAGGAGGAAUCGCUAGUGAUCGCAGGUCAGCAUACUGCGGUGAAUACGUUCCCGGGCCUUGUACACACCGCCCGUCACACCAUGGAAGUUGGCCACGCCCGAAGCCGUUACUCCAACCCUUGUGGAGGAGGACGUCGAAGGUGGGGCUGAUGACUGGGGUGAAGUCGAAACAAGGUA
rnacentral:rRNA from 1 species